ACAUUUCUGUGAGAAAAAAUGAAAGUUACGCGAUAUCUUUCUUUUAUGUCCUAGAAUUCACGCUAGGAAAGUAUAAUAGAUGGAACACAUAGAACAACACAUAGAAAAAGAUUUAUAAACGAAAAAGAUUGAAAAAUAUUUCUUGGGAGAAAACAAAAAUGACGAAAUACCAUUCCCUGUUUCUUUUUUUUUCUUUAUUAUUAUUAAAACGCAGAUUACAAGAGUACAAAAUAAAUCUCACGUGUACUAAUCCAAAUGUGUGUAUAAGCUACAUUUGUAAAAAAAUUGAAAAAUAUUUCUCUGCACAAAAAUAAAACAUAACAAUAAGUGAAAUUUAUAAAUAAAAAAAAAA